rnacentral:rRNA from 1 species
CUCUGGCCUCAAAUCAGGUAAGUACUACCCUCUGAUCUUACUGCAGUUUCUUUAUCCGUGAGAA